CAGUAGCCGCGGUAAUACAGAGGGUGCGAGCGUUAAUCGGAUUUACUGGGCGUAAAGCGUGCGUAGGCGGCUUUUUAAGUCGGAUGUGAAAUCCCUGAGCUUAACUUAGGAAUUGCAUUCGAUACUGGGAAGCUAGAGUAUGGGAGAGGAUGGUAGAAUUCCAGGUGUAGCGGUGAAAUGCGUAGAGAUCUGGAGGAAUACCGAUGGCGAAGGCAGCCAUCUGGCCUAAUACUGACGCUGAGGUACGAAAGCAUGGGGAGCAAACAGGAUUAGAUACCCCGGUAGUCCCUGUCUCUUAUAA
rnacentral:rRNA from 1 species